GACGAACGCUGGCGGCGUGCUUAACACAUGCAAGUCGAACGGAAAGGCCCUGCUUUUGUGGGGUGCUCGAGUGGCGAACGGGUGAGUAACACGUGAGUAACCUGCCCUUGACUUUGGGAUAACUUCAGGAAACUAGGGGUAAAUACGGGUUGGGAGUCCCUGUUGCAUGGUGGGGUUUGGAAGGUUUCGGCGGUUGGGGAUGGACUCGCGGCUUAUCAGCUUGUUGGUGGGGUAGUGGCUUACCAAGGCUUUGACGGGUAGCCGGCCUGAGAGGGUGACCGGCCACAUUGGGACUGAGAUACGGCCCAGACUCCUACGGGAGGCAGCAGUGGGGAAUAUUGCACAAUGGGCGGAAGCCUGAUGCAGCAACGCCGCGUGCGGGAUGACGGCCUUCGGGUUGUAAACCGCUUUCGCCUGUGACGAAGCGUGAGUGACGGUAAUGGGUAAAGAAGCACCGGCUAACUACGUG
rnacentral:rRNA from 1 species